rnacentral:rRNA from 1 species
CUUUACUAUACGCUGGCAUUGUAUUAUUGGUCUGAAUGUGCAGGAUAGGUGGGAGACUUUGAAGCGGGAGCGUUAGCUCCCGUGGAGUCAACGGUGAGAUACCACCCUUUUAUUCUGAUAAUACUCACUCCGUGUGUGAAACGCACCGGAGGACAGUGCUUGCCGGGUAGUUUAACUGGGGCGGUUGCCUCCUAAAAUGUAACGGAGGCGUGCAAUGGUCAACUAGCGCCGGAUGGAAAUCGGCGCGGUCGUAUAAUCGCACAAGUUGGCGUGACUGUGAGACCUACAAGUCGAGCAGUGACGAAAGUCGGUGAUAGUGAUCCGGUAGCCGGGCAGUUUAAUCAUUGCCCAAACCACGUGGGUGGGC